rnacentral:rRNA from 1 species
AUUACCGCGGCUGCUGGUGCGGAAUAUUGCGGGGCCUACGAAAACCUGAUGCACGGAAUUUUCGUGAAUGAACGAAAUUCCGACCGAUCAACUUCGCGCGAACGAAGAAAUAUGACGGUACCUGACUCUUUUAUCCCGGCUAACUACGUGCCUUGCCCCGCCCUAAUGAAGACGAUCUCCCUAACACUGUGGCCCGCUACUAGUGAAUCCGAG